GCUCAGGAUGAACGCUAGCGGGAGGCCUAACACAUGCAAGCUGAGCGGUAGAGUCUCUUCGGGGACUUGAGAGCGGCGUACGGGUGCGGAACACGUGUGCAACCUGCCUUUAUCAGGGGGAUAGCCUUUCGAAAGGAAGAUUAAUACCCCAUAAUAUAAUUGAUGGCAUCAUUGAUUAUUGAAAACUCCGGUGGAUAAAGAUGGGCACGCGCAAGAUUAGAUAGUUGGUGAGGUAACGGCUCACCAAGUCGAUGAUCUUUAGGGGGCCUGAGAGGGUGAUCCCCCACACUGGUACUGAGACACGGACCAGACUCCUACGGGAGGCAGCAGUGAGGAAUAUUGGACAAUGGGUUAGCGCCUGAUCCAGCCAUCCCGCGUGAAGGACGACGGCCCUAUGGGUUGUAAACUUCUU
rnacentral:rRNA from 1 species